rnacentral:lncRNA from 1 species
AGACUGGACUGAAUCAAAGCAACAUUCUCCUACUUUUCCCGUGUAUAGGAAGUGAUACUAACAAGAAUCAGAUUUGCCUGGACCCGUAACAGAGGAAACAACUUCUGGCACAGUAAUUCUUUGAACUGGAACCAUGAGGGCAAGUACUAACGUAUCCUUCUAUUGCAUGCAAUGCCUUAUGCACCAAAGCAGUUUUUUUGACUGUUGAAACGGACUGAAUCAGAUUUGUGGUACUAAGUUUUUUAGGGUAUGUGAAUAUUUUGAUUUAUUUUGAAAGAUUCUGUGUUCACAAUUCAUCUGGUCAGAGCAGGAGUUUUGAUUUUGAUUCUAUGUAAUUUACUUAUGGAAUGGAUUUAAGACAGAUGUUUAGGAAGAGGUUUUAUAAAUAUUUGCACUUGAUCAGAAGAAGAAGACAACUAAUAAUCCAAGAAUAUUAAUAAUCCAAUAAUGCAAUCUUGUAUUGUUGGAUUAGUAUUUGUUAAGCACC